rnacentral:misc_RNA from 1 species
GAUGAAGAACGUAGCGAAAUGCGAUAAUUAAUGUGAAUUGCAGAAUUCCGUGAAUCAUCGAGUCUUUGAACCCACAUUGCGCCUCAUGGCAUUCCGUGAGGCAUGCCCAUCUCAGCGUUAGAAAAUAUUCUCAAAUUUUAGUUUUGUGCUAAAAUUUGGAUCAUGUCAAGGAAGCUAUUACUAUUAUUGUGAUCGCUCUUUGGAAAUUGAUAGGUCUUUGAGUUGCUACUCAUAGAACGUGAUGAAUCUUUCUUCGUUCUAUUGUAAUUCACUCUGGUAGUCCUAAAACUUGUAUGCCUGUGGCAUAUCUUGUAAUUUGACCUGAGAUUGGGUAGGGAUACCCGCUGAACUUAAGCAUAUCAAUAAGCGGAGGA